rnacentral:rRNA from 1 species
GAAAAGAAACCAACAGGGAUUGCCCCAGUAGCGGCGAGCGAAGCGGCAACAGCUCAAAUUUGAAAUCUGGCCCUCGGGCCCGAGUUGUACUUUGGAGAGGAUGCUUCUGGCGCGGCGCCGUCCGAGUUCCCUGGAACGGGACGCCGGAGAGGGUGAGAGCCCCGUACGGGCGGACGCCAAGCCUCUGCGAAGCUCCUUCGACGAGUCGAGUAGUUUGGGAAUGCUGCUCAAAACGGGAGGUAAAUUUCUUCUAAAGCUAAAUACCGGCCAGAGACCGAUAGCGCACAAGUAGAGUGAUCGAAAGAUGAAAAGCACUUUGAAAAGAGGGUUAAACAGUACGUGAAAUUGUUGAAAGGGAAGCGCCUGUGGCCAGACUUGCGCCCCGCGGACCACCCGGCGCCUCGGCGCCGGGGCAUGCCAGCGGGGUGCAGGCCAGCAUCGGCUCUCUCGGGGGGACAAAGGCCGCGGGAACGUAGCGCCCUCGUGGCGUGUUAUAGCCCGCGGUGCCAUGCCCCUGGGGGGGCCGAGGACCGCGCUUCGGCAAGGAUGCUGGCGUAAUGGCCACCGGCGGCCCGUCUUGAAACACGGACCAAGGAGUCAAGCAUUGGGGCGAGUGUCUGGGUGGAAAGCCCGCACGCGGAAUGAAAGUGAACGUAGGUGGGAGCCUCGGCGCACCACCGACCGAUCCUGAUGUCUUCGGAUGGAUUUGAGUAGGAGCCCCGCCGCUUGGACCCGAAAGAUGGUGAACUAUGCCUGUAUAGGGUGAAGCCAGAGGAAACUCUGGUGGAGGCCCGCA